rnacentral:rRNA from 1 species
UACGGAGGGUGCAAGCGUUGUUCGGAUUCGCUGGGCGUAAAGGGUGCGUAGGUGGCUUGGUAAGUUCGAUGUGAAAUCUCCGGGCUUAACCCGGAAAUGGCAUUGAAUACUAUUGAGCUGGAGGUUUGGAGGGGGGACUGGAAUUCUCGGUGUAGCAGUGAAAUGCGUAGAUAUCGAGAGGAACACCAGUGGCGAAGGCGAGUCCCUGGACAACACCUGACACUGAGGCACGAAAGCUAGGGGAGCAAACAGG